AUUGAACGCUGGCGGCAGGCCUAACACAUGCAAGUCGAGCGGAGCGGCGGACGGGUGAGUAAUGCCUAGGAAUCUGCCUGGUAGUGGGGGAUAACGUCCGGAAACGGGCGCUAUUACCGCAUCCUAUCAGCUGAGCCUAGGUCGGAUUAGCUAGUUGGUGGGGUAAAGGCCUACCAAGGCGACGAUCCGCAACUGGUCUGAGAGGAGGAUCAGUCACACUGGAAGUGAGACACGGUCAAGAAUCGUACGGGAGGCAGCAGUGGGGAAUAUUGGACAAUGGGCGAAAGCCUGAUCCAGCAAUGCCGGGUGUGUGAAGAAGGUCUUCGGAUUGUAAAGCACUUUAAGUUGGGAGGCGGUAACAAAAGAAUAAGCACCGGCUAACUUCGUGCCAGCAGCCGCGGUAAUAG
rnacentral:rRNA from 1 species